AUGAGCUCCGCGCAGGACCCCUUCUACAUCGUCCGGGAGGAGAUCCAGGGCUCGAUUGGUAAGCUACAGACUACUUUCCAUCGGUGGGAGCAAGUUUCUUCAAACACCGGAGAAUAUAUUCAUUUAACAAAAGAGCUUCUCGCCAGCUGUGAAAGCAUUGAGUGGCAGGUGGAUGAGUUGGAAAAGACAAUUUCAGUUGCAUCAAGGGAUCCAGCGUACUAUGGACUCGAUGAAGUUGAACUCUCCAGACGACGGAACUGGACCGGCUCUGCUCGUAAUCAGAUUGGUACUGUAAAAAGGGCUGUUGAAAAGGGGAAGAGCAAUCCUGCAAUGGCAAGACAUCAGGACAAUGGCACAAGCAGAACUAACUACUAUUCUUCCCAAGACAAUGAUGACUAUAUUGCUUCAGAAUCAGAUAGACAGCUUCUACUCAUGAGGCAGCAGGAUGAUGAACUCGAUGAGCUCAGUGCGAGCGUUCAGAGGAUUGGAGGCGUAGGGCUUACCAUACACGAAGAACUAUCCGGACAGGAAAGGAUCCUCAACAACCUAAGCCUGGAGAUGGAAACUACUUCCAACAGGCUCGACUUUGUGCAGAAACGAGUGGCGAUGGUGAUGAAGAAGGCCGGCAUCAAGGGGCAGAUCAUGCUCAUCCUCUUCCUGGUGGUCCUCUUCAUCAUACUCUUCGUUCUAGUGUUUUUGACAUAG
rnacentral:rRNA from 1 species